UUCGAGGAUACACGAAGAACCUUACCAGGUCUUGACAUACCAUUGACCGGUGUAGAGAUACAUUUUUCACUUUCGGGUGACAAUGGAUACAGGUGGUGCAUUGGUUGUCGUCAGCUCGUGCCGUGAGGUGUUGGGUUAAGUCCCCGCAACGAGCGCAACCCCUAUUGAUAGUUGCUAAUAUUAAGUUAAGGACUCUAUUGAGACUGCCAGCGACAAGCUGGAGGAAGGUGGGGAUGACGUCAAAUCAUCAUGCCCUUUAUGACCUGGGCUACAAACGUACUACAAUGGCCAAAUACAAAGAGAUGCGAAGCCGCGAGGUGGAGCGAACCUCAUAAAGUAUGUCGUAGUCCGGAUUGGAGUCUGCAACUCGACUCCAUGAAGUCGGAAUCGCUAGUAAUCGUAGAUCAGAAUGCUACGGUGAAUACGUUCCCGGGCCUU
rnacentral:rRNA from 1 species